GAAAUGCGAUAAGUAAUGUGAAUUGCAGAAUUCAGUGAAUCAUCGAAUCUUUGAACGCAUCUUGCGCUCCUUGGUAUUCCUUGGAGCAUGCCUGUUUGAGUAUCCUGAAAUCUUCAAAGUAAAUCUUUUGUUAACUCAAUUGGUUUCUACUUUGGUAUUGGAGGUCUUUGCAGCUUCACACCUGCUCCUCUUUGUUCAUUAGCUGGAUCUCAGUGUUAUGCUUGGUUCCACUCGGCGUGAUAAGUUAUCUAUCGCUGAGGACACUGUAAAAGGUGGCCAAGGUAAAUGCAGAUGAACCGCUUCUAAUAGUCCAUUGACUUGGACAAUACUUUUAUGAUCUGAUCUCAAAUCAGGUAGGACUACCCGCUGAACUUAUGC
rnacentral:misc_RNA from 1 species